UGAGGCUUUGGUUGCUCUUGCACAAUCCUGUUCAAAUGCCUCCCCAGGUCUACAAGAGAGAGCUGCUGGAGCUCUUUGGGGAUUGUCAGUGUCAGAAGCCAAUAGCAUUGCCAUUGGACGGGAAGGAGGUGUUCCACCUCUGAUUGCUCUGGCACGAUCUGAGGCUGAGGAUGUCCAUGAAACUGCAGCAGCCCUCUCUUGUAGACCAGGCGCUCUGCAGAUAGUAGAGGAAGGUGGAGUUCCGGCACUUGUGCAUCUAUGUUCUUCAUCAGUAUCAAA
rnacentral:misc_RNA from 1 species